rnacentral:rRNA from 1 species
AGGUGUGAUGAUACUAGGACUAAUGCACCGGAUCCCAUCAGAACUCCGCAGAUAAGCGUGCUUGGGCGAGAUUAGUACUAGGAUGGGUCAUCUCCUGGGAAGUCCUCGUGUUGCACUUC